GAUGAACGCUGGCGGCGUGCCUAAUACAUGCAAGUCGAGCGAACAGACGAGGAGCUUGCUCCUCUCACGUUAGCCGCGGGCGGGUGUAUCACACGUGUAUACCCCACUUAUAAGUGUGGGAACACUUGGGGAAACCGGCGCUAAUCCCGGAUAAUCUCCUGAUCCAUAUGGUUCAAUGGAGAAAGUCGGUUUUUGUGGCUGUUCUAGCUGGAUCUCCGCUGCAUUAGCUGGUUGUGAAGGUCAAGGGUUACGAAGGGAAGUAGGCGUAUCCGACCGGCGAGGGGGGUCGGCCGCACGGGAGCGGGGACACGGUCCAGGCGCCUACGGGAGGCAGCAGUAGGGAAUCUGCCGCAAUGGGGGGAAGCUUGACGGAGCAACGCCGCGUGAGUGAUGAAGGUCUUCGGAUCGUAAAACUCUGUUAUUAGGGAAGAACAAAUGUGUAAGGAACUAUGCACGGCUUGACGGUACCUAAUCAGAAAGCCACGGCUAACUACGUG
rnacentral:rRNA from 1 species